rnacentral:lncRNA from 1 species
GGAAAGGCUUGGAAAGGGCACCUCCAACUGAGCCCUCAGGUGGUUAUAGCCGUGCCAGCAUCUUGUUUGUAGCCUUAUGAGGGCUCAGCUAAGCUCUUUAAUACCUUUUCUGAUCCACAGAAAAUGCUACAUGAUAAAAAGGACUUGUUUAAACUUUGUUAAACAGCAACAGGUGACUAAUGGAGACAUCGCAAAUGCAAGGAGAGGAGCAAAUCGGAGCAAGGCAGGGUACAGGGAAGGAACAUUUCUACAGUUGGCUAUUGGGAAGCAGGGCAUAUUGUACAACAUAGUAUGGAGCUCCUGA